GCCGGUGUAGCUCAGCUGGUAGAGCAGCUGAUUUGUAAUCAGCAGGUCGGAGGUUCGAUUCCCUUCGCCGGCUCAA
rnacentral:tRNA from 1 species